GUUUGAUCCUGGCUCAGAACGAACGUUAGCGGCGCGCCUAACACAUGCAAGUCGCACGAGAAAGGGCUUCGGCCCCGGUAAAGUGGCGCACGGGUGAGUAACACGUAGGUAAUCUCCCCUCAAGUGGUGGAUAACCCUCCGAAAGGAGAGCUAAUACAGCAUGAGACCACGAGCUCUUCGGAGCUUGCGGCCAAAGCAGGCCUCUACAUGUAAGCUUGCGCUGGAGGAUGAGCCUGCGGCCCAUCAGGUAGUUGGCAGGGUAAUGGCCUACCAAGCCUAAGACGGGUAGCUGGUCUGAGAGGAUGAACAGCCACACUGGAACUGACACACGGUCCAGACUCCUACGGGAGGCAGCAGUGGGGAAUCUUGCGCAAUGGGCGAAAGCCUGACGCAGCGACGCCGCGUGAGCGAUGAAGGCCUUCGGGUUGUAAAGCUCUGUGGGGAGGGAAGAAUAAGGGUUGGCUAAUACCCAGCUCGAUGACGGUACCUCCUUAGCAAGCACCGGCUAACUCUGUGCCAGCAGCCGCGGUAAUACAGAGGGUGCAAACGUUGUUCGGAAUUACUGGGCGUAAAGCGCGUGCAGGCGGCCUUGCAAGUCGGACGUGAAAUCCCACGGCUCAACCGUGGAAGUGCAUUCGAAACUGCGAGGCUAGAGUCCUGGAGAGGAAAGUGGAAUACUCGGUGUAGAGGUGAAAUUCGUAGAUAUCGAGUGGAACACCGGUGGCGAAGGCGGCUUUCUGGACAGGUACUGACGCUGAGACGCGAAAGCGUGGGGAGCAAACAGGAUUAGAUACCCUGGUAGUC
rnacentral:rRNA from 1 species